rnacentral:rRNA from 1 species
AGUCGAACGAGAACUCUCCUGCUUGCAGGAGAUAGUAAAGUGGCGCACGGGUGAGUAACGCGUGGGUAAUCUACCUUGGAAUCGGGGAUAACAAUGCGAAAGCGUUGCUAAUACCGGAUGAAGUUUUUUUCGCUUCGGCGGGGGGAACCAAAGGCGACCUCUCCAUGGAAGUUGUCGUUUCAAGAUGAGCCCGCGUACCAUUAGCUGGUUGGUGGGGUAACGGCCCACCAAGGCGACGAUGGUUAGCUGGUCUGAGAGGAUGAUCAGCCACACUGGAACUGACACACGGUCCAGACUCCUACGGGAGGCAGCAGUGAGGAAUUUUGCGCAAUGGGGGAAACCCUGACGCAGCAACGCCGCGUGAGUGAUGAAGGCCUUCGGGUCGUAAAGCUCUGUCUGGUGGGAAGAACCUCGGGAUUCGGACAACGGAUUCGGACUGACGGUACCACCGAAGGAAGCACCGGCUAACUCCGUGCCAGCAGCCGCGGUAAUACGGAGGGUGCGAGCGUUAUUCGGAAUUAUUGGGCGUAAAGGGCGCGUAGGCGGUUUUGUAAGUCAGAUGUGAAAGCCCGGGGCUUACCCCUGGAAGUGCAUUUGAAACUACGAGACUUGAGUAUGGGAGAGGGAAGCGGAAUUCCUGGUGUAGAGGUGAAAUUCGUAGAUAUCAGGAGGAACACCGGUGGCGAAGGCGGCUUCCUGGACCAAUACUGACGCUGAGGCGCGAAGGCGUGGGGAGCACACAGGAUUAGAUACCCUGGUAGUCACACGCAGUACACGGUGAUCACUAGGUGUAGCGGGUAUUGACCCCUGCUGUGCCGGAGUUAACGCAUUAAGUGAUCCGCCUGGGAGAGUUACGNCCGCAAGGUUAACACUCAAAAGGAAUUGACGGGGGCCCGCACAAGCGGUGGAGACAUGUGGUUUAAUUCGACGCUACGCGAAGCACCUUACCUGGGUUUGACAUCCCGGGAAUCCCCUUGAAAGAGGGGAGUGCCCUUCGGGGAGCCUGGAGACAGGUGCUGCAUGGCUGUCGUCAGCUCGUGUCGUGAGAUGUUGGGUUAAGUCCCGCAACGAGCGCAUACCCCUUAUCUUUAGUGGCCAUCAAUUAGGUUGGGGAUUCUAGAGAUACCGCCCCGGUCAACGGGGAGGAAGGUGGGGAUGACGUCAAGUCCUCAUGGCCCUUAUGCCCAGGGCUACACACGUGCUACAAUGGGCCGUACAAAGGGUAGCGAGCCCGCGAGGGUGA